UCACAACAAUACUUCUUCAGCAUCUAGACUUCUAGAACAUCUUCUAGCAUCAACAAAAGCAUCACAUCACCUACCACCAUCUUCACUUCUAGAACAUCUUCACUUCUUGAACAUGAGCAUGACCAAUGCACCAACACCUAUCAGCACCACAUCAACUAGCAGCAUAUUCAUGAGCAUCACCGGCUCUCUCCCAAGCAUCAUCAGUGCAUAAGCUUGCUGCUUGGUCAUCAAAUUUGCACUAUCAUUCUUCAUAACCUUCCUAGGC
rnacentral:lncRNA from 1 species